rnacentral:rRNA from 1 species
GUGGGGAAUAUUGGACAAUGGGCGCAAGCCUGAUCCAGCCAUGCCGCGUGAGUGAUGAAGGCCCUAGGGUUGUAAAGCUCUUUCACCGGAGAAGAUAAUGACGGUACCCACAGAAGAAGCCCCGGCUAACUUCGUGCCAGCAGCCGCGGUAAUACGAAGGGGGCUAGCGUUGUUCGGAUUUACUGGGCGUAAAGCGCACGUAGGCGGAUCGUUAAGUCGAGGGUGAAAUCCUGGAGCUCAACUCCAGAACUGCCUUCGAUACUGGCGAUCUUGAGUCCGGAAGAGGUGAGUGGAACUCCUAGUGUAGAGGUGGAAUUCGUAGAUAUUAGGAAGAACACCAGUGGCGAAGGCGGCUCACUGGUCCGGUACUGACGCUGAGGUGCGAAAGCGUGGGGAGCAAACAGGAUUAGAUACCCCUGUAGUCC